GAUGAACGCUGGCGGCGUGCCUAAUACAUGCAAGUCGAGCGAACAGAUGAGGAGCUUGCUCCUCUGACGUUAGCGGCGGUCGGGUGAGUAACACGUGGAUAACCUACCUAUAAGACUGGGAUAACUUUGGGAAACCGGAGCUAAUACCGGAUAAUAUAUUGAACCGCAUGGUUCAAUAGUGAAAGACGGUUUUGCUGUCACUUAUAGAUGGAUCCGCGCCGCAUUAGCUAGUUGGUAAGGUAACGGCUUACCAAGGCAACGAUGCGUAGCCGACCUGAGAGGGUGAUCGGCCAAACUGGAACUGAGACACGUACGAGACUCCGAGGAGGAGACGCAGUCGGGAAUCUUCCGCAAUGGGCGAAAGCGUGACGUAGCAACACCGCGUGAAUGAUGAAGGUCUUAGGAUCGUAAAACUCUGUUAUUAGGGAAGAACAAAUGUGUAAGUAACUAUGCACGUCUUGACGGUACCUAGUCAGAAAGCCACGGCUAACUACGUG
rnacentral:rRNA from 1 species